GAUGAACGCUAGCGGGAGGCUUAACACAUGCAAGUCGAGCGGGAUUAGCAGCAAUGCUAUGAGAGCGGCGCACGGGUGCGUAACGCGUAUGCAACCUGCCUUAUACAGGGGAAUAGCCCAUGGAAACGUGGAUUAAAGUCCCAUAGGAUUACGGUUUCGCAUGGAUUUGUGAUUAAAACUGAGGUGGUAUAAGAUGGGCCUGCGUCUGAUUAGGUAGUUGGUGAGGUAAUGGCUCACCAAGCCGACGAUCAGUAGGGGUUCUGAGAGGAUUACCCCCCACAGUGGUACUGAGACACGGACCAGACUCCGACGGGAGGCAGCAGUGAGGAAUAUUGGUCAAUGGCCGAAAGGCUGAACCAGCCAGCCCGCGUGCAGGAUGACGGCCCUAUGGGUUGUAAACUGCUUUUGUACCUGAAGAAACCUGUUUACGAGUAGACAGUUGCCGGUAAGGUAUGAAUAAGCAGCGGCUAACUCCGUGCCAGCCGCCGCAGUAACAC
rnacentral:rRNA from 1 species